CACACCGCCCGUCACGCCAUGGGAGCUGGAGGGACCCGAAGCCGGUGUGCCAACCGCAAGGAGGCAGCCGUCUAAGGUCAAUUCAGUGACUGGGGCG
rnacentral:rRNA from 1 species